GGAACGGGGGCCGCAGGGUCAACAGAACCCACCACACCAGGCCAGCUGCCGGGCGCAUGUGCAUGAGGCGCAGAGGGUUCAUGGAGCCCUUUUCUAGGGUUGAUUCUAAAGAUGGACUUAACAGAAUUUGGCCCUUGGUGCCCAGGGCAGAGAAAGCUGAAACGUGCUCAUUAGAAAUGCCUUCAAAAUCGGACUUGAGGGAAUUGUGGGAGAGGCUUUACCCCCGCUCCCUCAGGACACAAGACUUUUAAUCUAUUUAUUUGGGUUCAAGUUUAUAACCUUACUUCCUCAGCCAAAUGUCCACUCAACGUUCGGCUUACAGUAUCUUAAAAUAAAGCAAGAUCGCAAAGAUUAAGUAUUACAAAACAGUAAAACCAACAACAGUAAAACAG